rnacentral:rRNA from 1 species
CCUACGGGUGGCAGCAGUGAGGAAUAUUGGUCAAUGGACGAGAGUCUGAACCAGCCAAGUAGCGUGAAGGAUGACUGCCCUAUGGGUUGUAAACUUCUUUUAUAUGGGAAUAAAAUGUUCCACGUGUGGGAUUUUGUAUGUACCAUAUGAAUAAGGAUCGGCUAACUCCGUGCCAGCAGCCGCGGUAAUACGGAGGAUCCGAGCGUUAUCCGGAUUUAUUGGGUUUAAAGGGAGCGUAGGUGGAUUGUUAAGUCAGUUGUGAAAGUUUGCGGCUCAACCGUAAAAUUGCAGUUGAAACUGGCAGUCGUGAGUACAGUAGAGGUGGGCGGAAUUCGUGGUGUAGCGGUGAAAUGCUUAGAUAUCACGAAGAACUCCGAUUGAGAAGGCAGCUCACUGGACUGCAACUGACACUGAGGCUCGAAAGUGUGGGUAUCAAACAGGAUUAGAGACCCUAGUAGUC